CCAGAAUUUUUUGGUAAUCGAGAUCCGUGCAGGGAAAAAACGGAGCUACAACAAGGCUUCAAAGUCUCGAUUUCUUUUCCUCUGAAAGCAACAACGAAGGAUGGCUAUAAAAUAAUAUAUGCAACACUACUAGAA